ensembl:lincRNA
CGUGUUUACAUUUCUAAUCAAGAAGAUGUUCAUCUAUGUACUCAACAACCCAGGUUUCCUUGCAUCUGAGCUGCUGAAGCGCUUCAAAAACAACAUCUCUUGUUUCCUAAAGAAGAAGAUGCCUGGACAAGCAGCACAAGUCAUUCAGGAGGAAGAGGGUAAUUCAGUUGAGUUUCCUGAGCUACCCGGCUGCUGUGAUUCAACAACCACCAGGAAAUUUUGAUGAUGGUGCUCUCCUGAGCUCCUCCCUGUCCCAGGGAAGACAAAAUCAUUGAAACUGUGCAAAUAAAGUGUUAGUUCGCUGGAAUGAGGUCUCAUGGCUGUUUAUGCGGUGGUUGGCUGCUCAGGACAGGGAUGAAGAGGGUGAUCCGGAAGAGUCUUUUGAACUACUUGGCUGCGGUGUUUAAACAACCACCAGGAAAUUUUGAUGACCGUUCUCUCCGGAGCUCCUGUCUUUCCCCAGAGAAACAAAAGCAUCGAAACUACAAAAAUAAAGUGUUAUUUGGCUGGAAUGAGGUCUCAUGGUUGUUUAUGCGGUGGCUCGCUGCUCAAGACAGGGCUCCGCCGCCUCCGCCAUCUUCUGAGCACUCCACGCUGCCACCUUCACGUUUCUCUACUGGCCUCCAAGUACUCCAAAAUCUUUCGGAUCUGUGCCCCUACCCCUGUUUUUAGCAUGUUUGGGGACUCCAGGUCCCUGAAGGUUUCUGGCCUGAAAUCCACCUCCCCAGCCUCAUGGAUUCUGCUCUAGAGACCCCGCACUCCGCAGGGUUCCCAGGCCCCGAGGGACAAAAAAGUGAUCUGUGCACUUCAGGGCUCCACACUCGGCAAGGCCUUUCAAGUCCUCAGGGUCCCCUCCUCAGUUUUCUUCACAUUUCUGGACUGUAGUCACUCCAUAAAUGCUGGGAUCUGAUCCCCACCCCAGUGAUUUUUUUUAGUUCCAUGAGUGAUGCUGACUGAAUAGUCAUCCUAAGAGUGAUGAGAGCUUUUGAAUUUGCGGCAAGUUUUAGAGUAGUGUGAGUGGCUUGAGAUCGCGAAAUUGGGGCUAGCGUUGGAUGUGAGGUUAGGCUGGUGGAAAAAUGUGCCCAGAACCAGAGGAGUGUGGCUCACUGCGCGUGGUUAGGAUCAAAACAGAAUUGCACGGAUGUAUAGCUUUGGGGUAAAGAAUAACAUGGUUCAGAAGUGCAUGUAUUAGUCUGUUCACGCAUCGCUAUAGUUACCUGAGACUGGGUAAUUAUUUAUAAAAACUCAGGUUUAAUUGGCUCAUGGUUCCACAGGCUGUACAGAAAUCAUGAUGCUGGCCAUCACCUCAACUUCUGGGGAGGCGUCAGAAAACUUAGAGUAAUGGCAAAAAGUACAAGGGAAUCAGGCUCAUCUUCCAUGGCCUGAGCUGGAGAAAGUGGUAGGAAAGGUGCUACACACUUUCAAACAACCAGAUAUUUUUAGAACUCUAUCGCCAGGCAGCACCUACAGUAUGGUGCUAAAUUAUUCAUGAAAUAUCCACCCCCAUGAUCCUCUCAAUUCUCACCAGUCCAACCAGCCCCACCUCCACCAUUGGGGAUUACAGUUUCACAUGAGGUGUGACUGGGGACACAGAUCCUAACUCAAUCAGUGGCAUCCUGGAUUGCCUUCUAUAUCUUCUAGUAUAGAAGAAGAACCAGGAGCUGACUAUGAUCCUUAAGACUACCCACACUGGCCAGGCAGGGUGGCUCAUGCCUAUAAUUCCAGCACUUUGGGAAUUCAAAGUGGGUGGAUCACCUGAGGUCAGGAGUUUGAGACCAGCCUGGCCAACAUAGUGAAACCCUGUCUCUACUAAAAAUCCAAAAAAAAAAAAAAAAAAGAAAAGACAACUGUUGUACCAGAUGCCUGUAAUCACAGCUACUCCGGAGACUGAGGCAGGAGAAUCGCUUGAACUUGGGAGGCGGAGGUGGCAGUGAGCCCCAAUCGCACUACUAAACUCCAGCAUGGGCAACAAUACCAAAACAUCAUCUCAAAAAAAAAAAAAAAAAGACUGCCUAUGACCAGUGAGAGGGACACCAGCAUCGCUGAGAUGCAAGUGCUGGACAUUCUUCAUAGGUCAGAGCUUAAAGCAGGCCACACUGUUACAGAGAUGGGCUCCAUUCAUAGCACCGAAGUGGUGAGAAGAUGUGGGAAUGGCAGAGGCCAGCACUUUGCCAUCAAUGCAAGGUGGGUAUAAGAAGCUGGCACCAGUGCUAGAGUGCAUCGGGGAGGACUGCUUUGCAAUAUCUAGCACUUACCUCUUAGAAUAUGUUUCAUUAGGGACAACAGAUACAAAUGACAGACAACUAUGUCCCUUCACUAACAGGAAAUAGAAGUCAUCAAGAUGAACAGAAAGCAGAUGUCAGCAGCCCUCAUAUAAAGUCAUCAUACUUCAUCCAGUUAAAACCUGAGACAGUUCUCACACAAGAAGGCCUAACUCAAAGAGACUGGGUUCUCAUGAGGCAGGUUCAUGCAAAACCAAGGGAAGCUUACAACUUUGGGAUUCUCCAGUUUCCCUUGGAAAAGACCUACAAUAAUUUGCUUAAGUAAAUGAGCACUGGACAAAGGUGAGUAUUGUUAUCUUUCAGAAGCUCUUGGCCAUGAAGGUCUUGUUGGCAUAAAACCCAUGGUUUGGAAAGAUCACCAUGACCCCUGUUAGAGUAAUGGCCUAGGGCGAUGGUCAGGAAACUGAUGUAUUCCUUGCCAACUUCUGCCUCUAAGUGAGUGCACUCUGUUCAUGAACCUCUCUCCUCUAUAGUUAUGUUCCCAGGAUCUCAUGUACAAUCAGGAGUCAUAGACUUAGAAAAGGCAAAAAUACAGUGUUUCUGUGGCCUGUGAGAUAUGACUUAUAAUUCUAGGAAAAAAACAAUUGCAGAUGGGAAGCCUAAAUCUGUCAAUGCUCACCCAAGACAAUAUAAUCAAUAAAAAUCAGUAUCAACUCCCAAGGCAAAUUAUUUCCUGUAUAUAGAUGGCAGAGAUGAUCACCACCAUCAAAAACUCAAGGACCAGUGCUGUUGGUCUGGUCAUCUCUUUCAUGGAAUUCACCAGUCUGGUAUCUUCAAAAUCCAGAGGGAUGAUGGCAGAUGACAGGAAACUAAUGCGAACACCAUCAGUUGUACCUCCACUGUAGCAGCAGUAAUGGAUGUUAUCUCUUCAUUAUAAUAUCCAGGGAGAGGGAGAGGAUGAUAUUAUUCCCAAUACUCUAAACACCCUGAGUGUACAGCCUCUGUGAUAUUUUUUAUAAUAUCUGGUAGGGGGAGAAUUGUAUUACUCCUAAUAUCUCAGGGGACGUGCCCCUCUGUGAUAAUGUUCCUAAUACACAGGAGGGGAGAUGAUAUUACUCUUAAUAUCACAGGGAGUGUACACCCCACUGUAAUAUUGUUUAUAAUAUCCG